UACGUAGGCAGCAAGCGUUGUUCGGAGUUACUGGGCGUAAAGAGUAUGUAGGCGGUGUCCUAAGUUCGGUGUGAAAUCUCCCGGCUCAACUGGGAGGGUGCGCCGAAGACUGGGAUGCUGGAGUCUCGGAGAGGAACGCGGAAUUCCUGGUGUAGCGGUGAAAUGCGUAGAUAUCAGGAGGAACACCGAUGGCGAAGGCAGGUCUCUGGGCUGACACUGACGCUCAUGCACGAAAGCGUGGGGAGCAAACAGG
rnacentral:rRNA from 1 species